rnacentral:rRNA from 1 species
AUGUCCAACUACAUGAUGCAUCUGUUUUUUGAAAAUCCUGAGAUGCUAAUGCCAGGCAGCAGAAAGAUUUUGUUGGUGAGGGCCUACGAUGAGCUCGAGGACAUCAUCGGCAGUGGGGAGACACCUAAGGAUGACAGAGAAUUUACACAGAGGCUAAUAGAGAAAUGCAACGCGGGGGGUUCUAGGCCCGACUCUUUUAUUCACCAAGCUUGGCUGCUUGUUCAAAGCUUGUUGGGCGAUGUUGGCGACGAGACCAAGAUGUGGGAGGUGAUCCAAGGCGUGUGGGUGGAGAUGCUCUGCUUUUCUGCCGGCCGGUCCAGAGGAUACCUGCACGCUGAGGCUCUGGGAACAGGUGUGGAGUACCUCUCGUAUGUCUGGGUCCUGUUGACAUUCUACGGGAUGGAGACAUUUCCGGAUAAGCUUGAAAGGAGGGAGGGUCUGCCAGCUGCCAGCGAAGGAAGACAAGAUGCUGCUGCUGCUACGGCAUUUGGGUCUGAAAGUGAAGGCAGCGCGCAUGUCGUCAUUCAGGUUUGA